GCCCUAGGCCCCCAAAGGCACGUGUCGUUGGUGAACCCCUCGCGGCGGACGAGCGGCGAGGGCCGCCUCAAAUUACAAUUUCUACCGAGCGGCGGGUAGAAUCUUUUGCAGACGACUUAAAUACGCGACGGGGUAUUGUAAGUGGCAGAGUGGCCUUGCUGCCACGAUCCACUGAGAUUCAGCCCUGCGUCGCUUCGAUUCGU
rnacentral:rRNA from 1 species